GGUGAACGCUGGCGGCGUGCCUAAUACAUGCAAGUCGAGCGAACGGACGUGAAGCUUGCUUCUCUGAUGUUAGCGGCGGACGGGUGAGUAACACGUGGAUAACCUACCUAUAAGACUGGGAUAACUUCGGGAAACCGGAGCUAAUACCGGAUAAUAUUUUGAACCGCAUGGUUCAAAAGUGAAAGACGGUCUUGCUGUCACUUAUAGAUGGAUCCGCGCUGCAUUAGCUAGUUGGUAAGGUAACGGCUUACCAAGGCAACGAUGCAUAGCCGACCUGAGAGGGUGAUCGGCCACACUGGAACUGAGACACGGUCCAGACUCCUACGGGAGGCAGCAGUAGGGAAUCUUCCGCAAUGGGCGAAAGCCUGACGGAGCAACGCCGCGUGAGUGAUGAAGGUCUUCGGAUCGUAAAACUCUGUUAUUAGGGAAGAACAUAUGUGUAAGUAACUGUGCACAUCUUGACGGUACCUAAUCAGAAAGCCACGGCUAACUACGUG
rnacentral:rRNA from 1 species